GGUUUUAUUGCCCCCUACGUUCAGUUAUAUUUGUGAUAAAACACAAUAUUUUAAUAUCUGGAUCAUUCGCCAAUAUCUUCGUUUUGACAUCUUCAAAUGUUCCUCUUUAGCUUGUCGUCAAAAGGUAGACAGACAGACAGACAGGGCCAGGUAGACAGACAGACAGACAGGGCCAGGUAGAGACAGACAGGGCCAGGUAGAGACAGACAGACAGGGCCAGGUAGAGACAGACAGAUAGGGCCAGGUAGAGACAGACAGAUAGGGCCAGGUAGACAGACAGACAGACAGGGCCAGGUAGACAGACAGACAGACAGGGCCAGGUAGACAGACAGACAGACAGGGCCAGGUAGAGACAGACAGAUAGGGCCAGGUAGAGACAGACAGACAGGGCCAGGUAGACAGACAGACAGAUAGGGCCAGGUAGACAGACAGACAGACAGGGCCAGGUAGAGACAGACAGGGCCAGGUAGAGACAGACAGAUAGGGCCAGGUAGAGACAGACAGAUAGGGCCAGGUAGAGACAGACAGAUAGGGCCAGGUAGAGACAGACAGAUAGGGCCAGGUAGAGACAGACAGACAGGGCCAGGUAGAGACAGACAGACAGGGCCAGGUAGAGACAGACAGACAGGGCCAGGUAGAGACAGACAGACAGGGCCAGGUAGAGACAGACAGACAGGGCCAGGUAGAGACAGACAGACAGGGCCAGGUAGAGACAGACAGACAGGGCCAGGUAGAGACAGACAGACAGGGCCAGGUAGAGACAGACAGACAGGGCCAGGUAGAGACAGAUAG